GAAAGUUAUUUGCUCUCUCCUACAUCUUUAAUAAAUAUUAACAGCAAGGAAAGCCACUAUUAGAUAACCCAUAUAUGAAUCAGAUUCGAUUCAGAACUCGUUCCACGAGUUCAUUGCUUAAGAAAAACUGCUCUUCUGUUUACUCUUUGGGAUGAAAAAGAAAAAGAAAAUCAGUGCCAUCGACCCACAGUUCCUUUUAAUCAAAUCGGGCUGAGCAACUGGAAAAAGCUCUAGGGGCGCUCUUCUGGAAAAAGCCACAGUCCAACCACAGGAUUAAAAUACAGGAAACUUGGUGAAAAAAAAAAAAAAAGGAAGCCGAGAAAGGAAAAAAAAAAAAAAACUGCGUUCGCCUCACAAGACCAGGAUGAGCUGUUCUUGCUCUGGUUCUAAUUUUAGCGACUCUUUGGAUUGGGGCAGGGCCCGCUUUUACACACACUCGCUCAAGAAAAGGGUGCGCGCAAAACUCCGGCCACGUCACCGGCGGCGGCGCGCGAUCCGAGCCCCCCGCUCUGCCAGGUUCGCGGCCUCGCGGCGGGAAGCAGCAAGGACAGCGGGAGCUGCGGGCCAGGAAAGGGGCCCGAAGGCAGCUUCUGUUUACUCCCAAACUUUUGCUGGCUUUCAAACCGAGUGCGGAGGUCCCCAGACGCUGGGCUCGUCUUUGACCAGAUAUCACAACUCCUUGCCUGCAGUGUCAUGAGAAAUCCUGAACCACAAGUCACCCAGCUAAUUUGCUCCUGAAUUCCUGGCCAACAGAAAUGCAUCAUGCUCGGUAAUCACAAGAUGGCUGCCGCGCCGCAU